ACGCACACGAACCGCAUAAAGGGGAUAUACAUCCGCACAUAGAGAAUUGAGGCUACACGCACACACACGUACAGACCUACAUUGCCGUAUCGUGGCACAUCCUCUCUCACACACAAGAAACUCUUUGUUCUCCAGUCUCAUUUAUCAUUGCUCUCGUCGGCGUCGGCGCCUUCCCAGGCAAGGGCUGAUAAUGCGCCGCCCAGGUGUGGAGUACUGGUCGUCCACUUGCUCUGUACACAGACCCUCGCGCACGUCUUCCUCGCCGGAUCCAACGUCUGUGUCGUGCACCUCCGCGGCGGACUACUGCAACUCGAGCAAGGAUGAAAUUCCACCGCCGAUGUCGACUGUGUGGCUAGCUCCGCCGUCGCUGUCCACCCCGGUCAUCUGCGAAGCGGACAGCGGAGACGGAGACGGAGCCCAGCGCAGGAUGCAACAACAACGAGUGCUGCAGCGACGAGAAGAGGAAGUGGCGCGUCUCGAAGCCAUCUUGGCACGGGAACGGGUCGACAACGCCAACUCGCUGAACGCCCUUCGAGCGUCGCUGAAGCGCGAGCACCUGCUGCGCGCCACGGCGGAGAAAGAGCGACAGGCCGCUCAGGCUGAGGGCAGGCACCUGCGCACCGCACUCCGGGCACUCCUGGCUCAGCCACCAAACAACAGCAACAACGAACCGUUGUCGUCGACGGUGCCUGUCUCCCUUUACGAAGAGGCGCGCCGCCUCCUCCUGCGGUGUGACAAGACGUUCGCGGAGCUCAAGGCGCUCCAGCUGCGCUCAACCGACGCCGCUGGCCUCGAGGUACUCCGCCGGUAUGACAUUCCGGUGCUCGACGAGAUCCCACCUGCGUGGCCGCCUGGGACGCCGCAGUGCAGCGGCGAAGAGGAAGACGACCACGCGCGACGCCGGGCGCGUGCUGGUGGUGGCCCGAAUUCUACCCCGGCUGCACGUGAGAAGGCCUCUUCUGGCACUACUCCACUACCGAUGGAGGAGACGCUGACGGGGCUCGAGAUAUCAGAGCUGACUGCUCUCUCGCCAGACACACCGUGCAGCCCGAGUUCGGCAACGCGGCAGGUGAGUGCGGUCACAGCUGCCGGUGAGGCGUCGGAGACGUGGCGUGAGAAGGGGUGCGUACCCCCUGUCCACUCCUCGUCAAACGGCAAGGCCAAGCCUGAUGCCGGAGGGGAAACCCUCAGCGCCGACGGUCGUCGUCGUCCGCGGCCCACCCUCCUCAGUCCCCCGUUGCCAUCGUCGGAGACCAGCGCCGCGAAAGUUGUGCAGCCGUGGAUGGGGCCCAUGCACGAGUUCGCCGGGUCGACGCCCCUUCUUGACGCCACGCCGCCGCAGGAGCUCGGCGCGGAGCACCCCACGCGGCUGAGUGAGUUGGGGCGAGAGGACACGAUUCGCGACACGGAUCACCUUCUCCGGUCUCUGGCAGAAGAGAUCGCAAUGCUGGCCACGAGCCAAGGGCUCCGCACUGCGUCCGAGGUGGCAGCGCUGUGCCGCCGCCGCGGGCUGCACUACGUCGACGCCGCGUUUCCUCCCGUGUCGGAGACGCUUGGCUUUGACAGCAGUGGUGGCUGCCGCGGCUGCCAUACAGACCGGCGCACUUCGUUUGUUGUGGAGUGGCGCCCCCGCGACGCCGUUGUGCCGCGUGGCAGGAAAGCUGAGCUGCUGACGAGCGCCGGCAUUGACCCCGAUUCGCUACGCUGCGGCCGACUGGGCGACGCGGGUGUUGUUGCCGCCUUGGCUGCGCUCGCCGAGUCUGCUGGUGCGGUGCUGAGCGUGCUCGCCAGCACGACGAGCGAGGACGAGGACAAUGGCAUCUACGUUGUCUGGCUGUGCGUGCAUGGCUGGUGGACGCGCGUCACGGUCGACGCGUAUCUGCCGUGCGUCAUCGAGGACAACAGGCUCGUCGACCUGUACGGAUGCAGCAGCACCACCACCUACGACCUCUGGGCACCUGUUUGCGAGAAAGCGCUGGCCAAAGUGCUGUGUGGCUACCACGCGCUCUGCAGUCUCACAGCGGAGACGGCGAUUGGCAACUUCACGGGUGGACCGGUCGAGUGCUGGGACUGGUGGCACAGACGCAGCAGCACGGCGCUGGAGGAGAUGGAGGCGGCUCUCAGUACAAACGCACGCGGCGCAGGCGUGGUGCUGCUCUCCACCUUUUCGACGGCGGCCCUGCGUGACACAUCUACGAGGUCGGUGGCUGUGGCUGGGGCGCAUGCGGCUUACCAGCGGCUCGGGCUUCGACCUGGCACGUCGUACCGCGUGCUGGCCGUGGCUGAUAAUGCAGAAGGUGAGCCGAUGGUCCUCCUGCGCAACUGGACACGAAGGUGCGAGCAGCGGGAGAACGGCCAGGCGCGCUGUCUCUUUGAUCUCGAUUCCGCAUUCGGCGGCGGUGACCGUCGCAAUCUUUCGCCGCGGCGGGACAGCAAUGACGGCACUGCGGCCGUGAAGGGAUGGCUGGCAAAGCCGCCGUCGCAGUCGAGUGCUGCUUCGAGUCAGUGCGACUCGUGUGUGUGGCUGAGCUACACAAAAGAAGUGCUACCCUACUUCGACGGGUGCCACGUGUGCUUUGACUGUCGCCGGUACCACGACCUUCGCGUUCCGAUUGCAUUUACGGGCUCACGGCCGGCCAUUCCAGCGCAGCUGGUUCGCGUCCGUGUUCAGGAAGGUCUUGCGAGGCCCCCGCACAGGGUGACGCGCUGCCCGACACGGCUGUGGAUCGGGCUACACCAGCCUUUCUCCCGCGUCGACACCAGCGAUGCUGCUCACGCUUGCUUUCCGUGGGGGCUGAAGAUGACCCUGGUGGCUCAAGAAGAGGCCCCGGUACCCUUUGGGGGAGGCGGCGGCUGUGCGCGUCCUGCGCGCCGGUCAUACAUCCUGUCCGAGUCCUUCUUAGGCGAGCCAAAGGAGCUGCCAGCGGUGUGGAUGUACUUGGAACUGGAGCCCGUCGCGGACAGCGCACCUCAUCCUGUCACGGAUCUCAAAGAUGAGGACGCCGCUGCAGCAACCACGACAACGGAGUUCUUCGUUGUGCCGCACAUGGAAUGGAUCGUCAGGAAGGACAGGGCACACACCGGCCAGGAUGAUGAUGGACUCGGCUCUCUCGGGUGUGACGUACCCUCUGCUCAGCAUCGGCGCAGUGUAGGGCAAGAGAGUCAGCGCAGGCGCCUUGGCAAGGAUGCGGCACCGCAUAGUGACCAAAGCGGUUGCGCAAGUGGUGCGGAGAAAGCGGUAUGGCACCAGUGCAGUAAUCGCCAUCCCGCCAGCUUAGCUGAGCUCUCACUCGGCAAUGCUACGACAGCGAUCGUGGCGGUCUUGGCAGAGCGCAGAGAGUCGGUGCUGGUGGACGUCGUCAACGCACCAGAGGAGCUGCGCGCUGCUGUGUAUCACGACGUAUUGGAUCGUAUCGACUUCUCUGAUUGUACAGUCGCAGGGGGCAGUGACCACCGUCAACCAUCCCACCCGUCGCAAGCGAGCGCUGCUACAGCACCGGGAGAGGUGCGCUGCCAGUUGAAUGGACGCUGCAUGCCAACGUUUUCCUGGUGAUGUUUGCACGGUGACCGGUGGACGGGAGAGGGCUAACAGUGAAGCGAUGCAACCCGAAGCGGCGCGAGAGAUGAAGGCGCGCCAUGAGCCUUCACGUUGUCCCUGCCAUCCUUUUCCUCGGCUCGUCGUUGGGUGCAUGUUGGUACAGUGCCCCGUCCUGCAAGUUCCGCGCUGCGUGCUAUGCUCCUUUUCCUAUCGUCACUGCCUGUUGUUGGCUCUAGGGCGAAUGGGUGGCCAUCACACAGCUGGACGCGAUCAGAUCCGCCGCAACGGCGGUCGCACAAUCUUACCAUACCCGUGCGGAGAAACCCAAAAGCCCUAAUCGGAAGCGACAAAAACCGCCCACGCCGUUACUGCAACGAUGAUGGCCACGAAGGCAGGUUCAGCGGCAGGUAUGACGACCUCGUUAGGAGGUGAGAACUGGUCUCCUCUCUCAACAGUCCGCAGACCUAUACACACCACGGUGUGUCUUGUCUCGCUUUCACGCGCAUCCCCUACACUGCACCUCUCCCGCUUCUGUCUUCAAAG
rnacentral:misc_RNA from 1 species